rnacentral:rRNA from 1 species
GAUGAACGCUAGCUACAGGCUUAACACAUGCAAGUCGCGGGGCAGCAUGGGGGUUGCUUGCAAUCCCCGAUGGCGACCGGCGCACGGGUGAGUAACGCGUAUCCAACCUGCCCUUCACCACGGGAUAACCCGGCGAAAGUCGGACUAAUACCGUAUGUUGUCCAUUGACGGCCUCCGAUUUGGACGAAAGGCUUGGCGGUGAGGGAUGGGGAUGCGUCCGAUUAGCCAGACGGCGGGGUAACGGCCCACCGUGGCUACGAUCGGUAGGGGUUCUGAGAGGAAGGUCCCCCACACUGGAACUGAGACACGGUCCAGACUCCUACGGGAGGCAGCAGUGAGGAAUAUUGGUCAAUGGGCGUAAGCCUGAACCAGCCAAGUAGCGUGCAGGAGGACGGCCCUAUGGGUUGUAAACUGCUUUUAUGCGGGGAUAAAGUGGCCCACGUGUGGGCUUUUGCAGGUACCGCAUGAAUAAGGACCGGCUAAUUCCGUG